CUAGUUGGAUUUUAUAUCUAUAUGUAUAAAGUAAAAGGUUUUAAUGGUUAAAUUUUCAAAUAACCAAAACUUGUCUUCGUUUAAGAAAAAAUUUCAAAGCACAACUAUUUCAUUUUGGAUGAGGCGGUCUGUUCACGUCACUUGUACGAUCUCCUAUGUGAGGGAGUUUCCUCCUCGGGCUUACGAUGGUAUAACCCCCAAUAUGCAUUGAGUCUCUUUUUUGUGAUAAUGGUGGCACAGGUGAUACAUGAUCGACCGCCUCAUUUAGACUUUCUCCCAUUCACUGCUUGAAUAUGAUAUUAUUUCCAAAUCGCAAACCGGCUGUUAAUAAAUUUAAGAAAAACACAAACACAAAACACUUCCCUAGUACUAGUAAUUGCUAGUAUACCCUCACCAAUCACCAUCUUAUUUUGAUAAAUGUAUAUUUUAUUGAUUUGGCCUCUAUGCUUAGACAACCAAUGGUUUAUGACUAUUUUGUGAUGCUUGAUACAAGGGACGGAUUUAGAGAAUAUGGAACAAUAAGAAUACAACAAAUGGAAUAUGAGAAAAAAGGUGUGUACAAGGCUUUUAAAAAAGAAAAAAGAAAAAAAGAGACAACUUACAAAAUAGCUGAAUAUAAUACUCAGGAUUUUAAAUACAUGACUCACUACUACAAAAAUCGAAAUACACCACGGGAAUUCACCGUCGUCUAGACGGUUUUUAAACUGUCGUGAAAUCGACCGCCAUCUUUUGAUGCAUAAAACUACGACGGUAAAUCACUGACGUUGUUAAGACAUAUUACGUCAGCUAUAAAAAAUAAAAAUAAAAACUGAUGUCUAAUUACUAUAAAAACAACAAAAAAGGAAAACUUUGACAACCUUAGACGACGCUUUUAGAAACAUAGAAACGUCUAAAGCAGAUUACAUGUCAAAAACUUACCAUCGUUUAUAACGUCAUCACCGACAUUGUUAAGGCAUACUACGUCAUCUACAAACAAAACUGACGUCUAAUUACUAUAAAAACGCAAAAAAAGGAAAACUUUGACAACCUUAGACGAUGCUUCCAGAAAACACAAAACGUUUAAC
rnacentral:lncRNA from 1 species